UCAGGCUGCCAGUAUUAAUAAGAGAAGAAGAUGUCACAGAAAAGAAAACAAAAAGAAAGGCUGCUUGAAGUCAAUAACUGGCUCUGCUGAGUAUCUGCACUUAUUAAGUAUUGCAGCCUCCAAGUUAAAUCACUCAUUUUGUUAAUAAUAAUAGCUACAAUUUAGUAAGCUCUUUGUCUGGGCCAGGCACUGUCCUAGUUGCUUUUUAUAUUAUCUUAUUCGAUUCUCAUAGCACUAGUGUUAUCAUCCCCUAUAGUCAGGAAUCAGAGAGUUAAAUACUGGGCCCAAGGUCAAACCCUAAUAAACGAGAAGCCAGGAUUUAAACCCAGGUCUAGCAGACUUUGUGCCCCUGCUCUUAAUCUCUUCCCUCCUUCCUGGCUGCACUGAUUCCACCUUAUGCUAGUAAAUAGUAUCACCCACCACCCCUCUCCCCACGUACACCUAUAGUUUGGCCUUGGGGCAAAGGAGUUUGCCUUUUUUAGGCCUUGUUUUGUACAGUUUGCAAAAUACAGUGUUCAGUGAGGGAAGGAAGGCUAAGGAGAGCAAUGAAAUCCUCUUCUGACCUGAAACUGCGCUUUUGGAAGGAGGGAACGAUUAGACUUGCUUUAUCUUUUUUAUUUCAAGGCCAUAAAUAAUGAAAUCACCAGAAGACGCAGAGCCAUGGCUUCUUUGGCCAUAGUCUUAGAAUCCCAAAAGUCAGCCAACUCUGGCACUGAGUCUGUAAUUUAAUUAAACAUCUUGAAGGUACCUCCAACAGCUUGACAGUAGUCCAGCUUCAUAUUCUUGGAAAGGGACUGCGAAAGGAGCUUGUCUGUUCACCGAGUCGAGCCAUCAUGGCCACAGCACACCAUUUGCCUUACAAAAAUGGGCCACAACCUUCACACCAUUUUAGGGAGUCAGUAGCAACUCAUUUACCCAGGGAUCAGCCAUCUGUCAGCUUCACCUAUCCCUAUUUCUUGAGCAUGGAAUCCACAGGAGUGGUUUGACAAUGAGUAAUUGAGACAGAACUGGGAAAAUCUGAAACCUCUGCCGGGCCCUUUCAAAAAUGACUGAGAACUGGAAAGUAAGCAAACAAGGCUUCUGACCAGUUGAAAUAAAUACUAUGAAGCACCCCCGUAAGGGAAAGGCCACGUACCUGCCCAUAAAGCACCCACUCAGAACCUGUUUAUUCCUACUUCACACGUAAUGCUAAAUGUCUGAUGUCUGGUUUCCAAGCUUACAGCAGAUUAAAUUUAAGGGUGAGAAAUAGAAUUCUAGAGGAAACUUAGGUCAAUAAGGAAAAAGAGCUGACAGCAAUAAAGAAGACAAGACAUUUUAAGUAGACUGAAGAGCUCAAAAAGCACUGUUUUAGGGGGACACAUAAUACCAAACAUAGCUCUGUAAACACAUUACAAUUUUGAAAUACCUAUCAUAGAACUAUAUAAUUUUAUUCAAAGUGCUGACCCUGAGCAUCACACCUAAAGAAACUAAAUUGUGCUCAGAAGAAAGAAAAACAUUUGCAUAUCAACCAUUUUAGAAAUAUUUGUAUCACAAAUGGUAAACAAAACAAAAUCAAACCCCCUUUCAGGAGUUAAGAGGAAUAAACCUUUGAGUAUGCAGAACAUUUAGCUAAACAAAACAAAACAUCCCACUACCUGAGGUUUUAUUGUUCCAGGAGCCUCUUGUUUUUCAUGGCUUUGAGAGUGACUUUCAUGCUACAGUGCUUUGUGUAGAAUGUCAUGAACAAUGGAAGUGCCAAGUUUCCAAUGUGAUGAAUAAAACUAAUAACCAGAAUACAGGUCAAAUUCUGUUACAACAAAUACUGCUAGUAUAAAAAUCAUUUAAGCAUCCCUGUUAUCUCUAAGCCUCUGUCAAUUAACUACCCAUUUAUUUCAAGCAGUACUCAUUACAGCAGAAUUGGGGUGUAAUAAAAAGAAACGGGACCCUCACCACAAGUUGGGUGUAACAGUUUAACCUGUAAUAACAGGUUCUCACUUGUAUUUCUCCUAUUCUUUGCUGCAAGGAGAAUAAACCUUGUGUAGACGUAAUACCAGCCUAGGAAGCUGAUAUUUAGUAGUUGUUGCUAGGAGAAGAGAGAAUUCAGAAGCAAAGGACACAUGGAGUUGUGUGGCAAACUCUGACUAGGGAAUUUGGUCUCCAUGGUCACUUUUGACCUGCAUCCACUUUGGAGCCAUCAACCACAGAGUCGCUUGCUUCUAACAGUGAUGUAAUGCAUAUAUGAAGCCCUGGAAUGAAGACAUGAUUCAUUUCCCGUGGAUCACUGAACACUUUGUGGCAACUUGGCCCUGAUCUAAUGACCCUAAGAUAAAGACAUUUAGAAGCAUGUGACUAGAAUAAUCCUUUCUCCCAAGAUGCACUGCUUUCAACACUGCGUGAUUGUAAAAGCACACGCCACAUUGAUUAUACGUAGAAGUGACCUAAGUUAAUCAGCUGCAUUCCCAUUGGUAUACAGGCAAGGAGUUUUCCCUGCUUAUCCAUCUUUUGCUUGUGGUAACGAUGAGUUUUGUCAUUUGCUAUAAUUUUUUUCUACUUUCUUUUUUUUUUUUUUUUGCCUUUUUUUUCUUUUACUUAAACACUUUUCUUAAAUGACUACAUUGCAAUCAAUAUUUUGUAACACCCUUAGCAGCAGAAGGGAUUAAAUCAUAGUUCACAUCUGAACAGUACAAUCAGCAAUAGGAAAGGAGUGGGGAGGGAGAGGGAAAUUGUCCACCUUUUCCUGAUGAUAAUGCCUGGCUCAGACCCCAGAUUCACAUCAUGCUCCAAAGAAGUUCAUAAAUUCUGGGCACUGCUCAGCCCGAGGAGGCAGGCAGCAGCCCUCGUACCUUGGGGUGAGAUGAAUGGUCUGUUGAAGUCAUGCCAUUACAGAAUAUGUUCACCUCUGCUUGCUUUCUCCCCAAAGCCAGAGUGUAGCUCCACAUUUACAUGUCCUAGGCCAGGGGAUCAGGCUAUGAAGAGCCUGAAUGCUUUGCUUGGCUCUUGAAAACAUUGAUUCCAAGUGUAGUUCUCUGGCCUGAAGGAAUAUUUGCUGCCUCACCAUUUUUAUUAGGGCAUCUGGAAAUUGCAGGUGUUGACUGGAAGUAACCUUUCUGUGUCUGGUUUCUCUGUACACAUUCAGGCUUCUGGGACCUUUUGACCCAAUUGGAUGGCUGUGUCCUAGUAACACAUUCAGCCUGUUCCAAGUGUGAAGAGCCACGAUAGAUGAGAAAAAGCAAUGUGUGGUCUUCUGUCUUUGGAAAAAUGGAAUGACCUUCCUCCUCGUGCUGGGUUUUAGAGGCAGACAGACUUGAUUCGAGUGCUGGCUGUGUCCCUAACUAACUCUGAGGAGCUGAAGGAGCAGCUGGACCUUUGGGUCCUAGUACAGUGCCUGACACACAGGAGGAACUGAGUGAGUGGCAGCUUGUGAUCACUGUGUAUCGUGACGACCAUCGUCCAUCAAGAUGGAGUCCCCUGAGGGCUGUGGAUGGUGCCUGCCCCCUGCAGCCCACCCUGGCUUGUCCGCUUGGCCUGUCUGGAGCCUCUCCAGGGCUGCUUCUCAGCUCUCUCUGCCACGCCCUCCCAGUCACACUUUCAUAUCAACUUUGCUGAUAAAAUUGCCUGACCCAGAACAGAUGUUCAAAAAUACUUGUGGACUUGCCGACUGACAUCUUGAUAGCAUCCGUAUCCAGAGUCGCUCCAGAUAUUACAUCUUGAUGCAGAAAACUGGGAGACACCUUUAGCUACAUCUACCCCAGCAUGAGUGUCCAAAGCACGUGGUGCCACCAAAAGGUAUCUGCUCUUCAGGAGAAGAGGGAGGAGAGCUGGGAAAUCUAACUGCCAUCCCGGCUCGGCCACUAACAAGCCGGGCAACUUGCCUCUAAGUACCCCUGAAAUGAGGGGUGGAGUCAGCUAGAUGGGAGGAUGUCUCUGGCUCUUCCAGCUCUCACAUUGUAGGCUCUUAGCAAAGCGAGAAGUGACAGUGGAAACAGAAAGAUGCUUCCUCUAGGAAUCCCAGCUCUUCUUCCUCUGUGUGUGUGCAUAUAUGUGUGUGCAUGCACAAGCAUAUGUUCACGCGUGUGGGGAUGAAUAUGCAUGUGUAUGUAUGUGCACAGACACGUGUGUAUGUGUGCACAGAUACACUAGGGCUGGCCAUAAAGGUGGACUUUAUGGAGAACGACAUUUCUCCAAAUGCUUUGGACUGAAUAUUCAAGUUCCCCAAAUUCGCGUGUUGAAAUCCUAACCCCCAAUGUGAUGGCAUUAAGGGGUGGGGUCUUUGUGGAGUAAUUAGGACACGAGAGCAGAGCUCUCACGUGAGGAUGCAAUGGGAAGUCAGCAGUCUGCAGCCCACAAGAAGCUGACCAGGACCUCAGGCUCCCAGCUCCCAGCUCCCAGAGCUGCGAGACAUACAUUUUUGUUGAUGAGCCCAUCCAGUUUGUGGUCUUUUGUUUUAGCAGCCGGAGCAGACUAAGACACCUGAUGUGUAGAAGUCAUGACAAAGAUGUCCUAUAGUUGAGUGAGCUGGGAAGUGGAACAGUGGACACACAGCUUUCUUUCCUGUGGGACUUCUCCGAACUUUAUAUGCUCAGUUGCAUUGUGGAACUCUAAGAAGGGAAUGAGGUAUGGUUUUCCUGUGUUCCAUCUAGCAAUUUUAGGAAACACCUAUUUAGGGAUGAGUCCAACUGACCUCAUUUAACUGCUGAGAAAACUGAGGCCCAAAGAAAUUAAAUUGUUUGCCUAAGGUCAUACAGCUGUUGGAAAACCUGAGUUCUUGUCCAGAUUUGGCCACUGUCUCCCAGAGAAGAAAGUCUGUUUCAUGACCCAAGAGUGUACAUUAGAACAUUCUAGGAGGCACCCCAAGAUUCCUUCUUUGAUACUAGAGGGGAGCAUUGCAUAGGCGGGAGUCCUUCGUCUUGGCCUGCACAGAUGUCAGCAUUCAGCACAGCGCAGGCUUCCUAGUCAGGGGGCGCCGUCUGGAAUGUGGGGUGCAGCUCUCGCGGGCUGUGCUCUUCUCUCGCUCUCCCCACCCCCCAGCUCUCUCUGUCUGUGUGUGGUUCUGUCUCCCUCUGGGGCUCUCUCGUUCUCUCUCCCCCUACCCCAUCUCUCUGGCUCUCUCUCUCUCUCUCUCUCUCUGGGUCUCUCCCUCCCCUCACCCUGAUUCUCUUUUCCAGGCUGCAUUCUGAGGUUACUGUCAUGGUGAGUCAGGGCAGCACUGGCCGCUUGGCUGAGACCUCUACACAGCAAAACACCAAGCACCCAGUGACGGUGCUCAGGGAGCCUUGUGCAAUGGCAGGCCUCUUUAUUCCAGCUUAACAGCUACAUCCCUUUUCUGGACUAGGAAACUGAAGUGUCAGCUCAUUAAAAAUGGGUAUUUGUGCCUGGCCUCGUGCAGAGUUGACCAUGAUCGUUCUCAGGUGCCUUCCCUGGCACUUUAGCAUUGAAACUUCAGGUGCAUCAGUGUGACCUGCAGGAGCAUGGGGGUGGGAGAGGCCAGUGAACGUGUGUGUGUGUGUGUGUGUGUACGCAUGUGCAAGACACGAGAGGGAAAUGUUGGGCACAUCAGGAAAAAUGAGUUGGCACCCCCUCCAAACUGCUCUUUUUUGACUGUUAGGUAAGCAUUUAUUCAGAGGACAGGGUGGUAGGCACCCGUCUAUGAGUGUGGCGUGCAGGUAGUGGUGGGGGUGGGGGACACAUUGGAGGCUGUGCCCCCCACCUGCAUACCACACUCAUAGAAACAAAAGCCCUGACCCCCCCUUUUUAGAAAAGACCAUUUAGCGGCCAUCUGUUGUUAUUCCAGCUUACUCUUUUGGGGGUCUCAUUCCCUCCCACUUCCGAAUGGCUUUCAGAGUAUUUCUUUCCACUCCACACAAUUACUUCCCUGAAAGGAGUUCUUAAAAAGUACAAUUUUCUACCUCAUUACAAGUCUAGUGAAAUUUUUACACCAGCCCUCACCCCCCAACAGACGGGUCCUAUGUCAUGUGUUGUGUGCACGUGUGUGUAUCAUCAGGCUGAUGAUUUAGUGAUGACCCUGUUCCUAAUAUAGGAAGUGUGCGUGACACCCUCCAUGUGGUCACAGGCUGUCCCCUACAGAGUUCACGCCCUUCCUAGUAAAGAAGAGACGCAGGGCGGUAUUUUCUUAGGGGAUUAUUAGAUCCACUGGAAUGUAAUAAGAGCAAUGGGCAAUGGUAGAGAAUUAAUAUCCCCACUUGCUGGAGCAGCUGUCUUCCCUCUGCCUCCUCCUUAGCUGCCUCUGACCCUUUCUCUCCCAAGGACAAAGGCAUGUCAUCCAGAGGAGCUCAGGGACACAAACAUGCCUGGAGAAAGCCACUGCCUGAGUGGUCCCCAGUUCCCAUCAUACUGUUUCACACCUAUCGAGGGGUUCCGUUUCUUAGGAAUGCACAACACCUGUGGCCUUAAACCAUCCCGUUUCUAGUGCUCUUAGCCUGACACAAUAGAACACCAAGACAGCCAGUUAUUUGGGGGGAAAAAUCACUUCAACCAGUUGUUUGGCAGCGAUUAAACAGAACAACUACUAGGUCAGUUGAAUGAUGCAUUUUACAAAGAAGUUUUGUAGGCACAGCUGGAAUGAAAUCCUCUUGUGUCCUUGAGCUUGAUGUCCUUGUACCAACACCAAACUCAAAGAUUUGCUAAUGAAGACUCAAGACGGUGACACUUCCAGUUGGAUUCCUUUCCCCACAGUGGUGGCCAAGAUCACCGCCCAUUUUACCCAAGCUCUCUUUCCAAAAUAGAGGUAGGUUCUCCUUUGAGGGAAAUAAUGGAUCAGACUGCCUGGGUCUGGCAUUUACUAAGUCACUUUAAACAAGUAACUCACAUGCCCUGAGUCUAUAUUUCCUCAUCUGUAAAAUGAGGAUAAUAAUAGAACCUACCAUUCUGGGCUAAUGUGAUGACCAACAGGAUGAUGCAUGAAAAGUGCUUAACACAGUAUCUGGCACAUUGUAAUCCCUCAAGAAAUAAGAUAGUUAUGAUUAAUAUUAGCAUUAUUGUUAUAAGUUGAUAAAAUUUUGAAAGGAAAUUUGGUUGUAUCCAAUCUUAUGUCUAGAAAUCUCUCUAACUGAAAUAUGACACAUGUACAAAGCUUUUUGCAAGAGAAUGUCCAUGUAGCAUUGUUUUUAAUGCAAAAAUGUGGUAACGACCUUGUAUCCAUCAACAGGAGACUAGCUAAGUAUUUGAGAGUUCUUCCAUGUAGAGGACUACUCCACAGAAAAUCCAGGGUGGGUUCUCCCUGCCUGCUCAGCACAGCCAACAGUGCUUUUGAAAAUCACUGAGGCCUCUGUGUUUAGAUUGAUAAUCAAAGCUUUCCUUCCUGCAAUCACAGAAUAUUCUCUGGGAUGCUAAUGAGAUGAUGAUUCUGUUUUACGAGGAAGAGUGGAUUUGCAUCACUCAAGCCAAACUGAAGAGGCACAAGCCCUGAAGAGGGAGGAAUCGAGGCACUUAGCUGAAAGACUUCUUGGUGAAUAUUGACACCUACACAUAAAGUGAGGCAAGACUGAAUCCUUGGAACCUCAGCUCUCUUGCUCAUAUAGCCAAUUUCUCCAUUAAUAGGAGCUGGAGAUUGUUUCCCCCUGCAGUACCAGACUAGGCCAGCAGGGGUCUGACAUUAGUUGCUUUUAACCCAGGACGACUGAGUCUCCAUGGUGAUGGCUAUGUGAACUUGAACAGGAGCUAACAGCCAUGACUUGAGAUGGCAGAACUCGCUACCUCUGCCAGACACAGAAGACGAAACUAUUUUUUUAAUCAUCAAAACAACCCGAAGAGCUAGGAUAUUAUUUUUCCAGAUGAAGAAACAAGCACAGAGGCUAUGACAUGCUGGAGCUGAGAUUUGUAUCCAGGUAGCCUGGCCCGUAAGGGGUUCACAAUCGCCGUGGGCACCAACCUCCAGAGGCACAAAGAGGUGGUGUGUAAAAAUUAGUACGUGGGACCCUCAUUUAAAAUGGAGUCAGGAAGCCAGAAGAGGGCGCUCUCCUGUCCUGGUACUCAGGGUCAGCUGCAUACCCCACAGGAGGAAAGUGCAACUACUGGCCUACCCCCAAGAGAGAAUUUCUCCUCGCUCAGCAACAACCCAGCCAGUGAGCAACCACAGCUCGGCCAACGAACGUCUGCUCUUCUCCAAUGAACCUUCAUUGAGAACGGCCCCUCCCAAUUCCCCCCUUUCCCCUAUAAAAGCAGGCUCCCUUCCUUUGUUCUCUAGGCAGGACUGUGGUUCACCACAGAUUGUGUGUCUCAAAUUGCAAUUCCUUGCAAAAUUUUGCUGGUAAAAUAGCUUGCUAUUUUAAUAAUUUUAGGUCAAUAGGUGCAUGGAUGUGACCCAGGCUCCUGAGGAGGAAGCCAACCUAGAGAGGCAAAACAGAAGACCGGGCGACUUGGGACAGACCUGCUAUGACCUGAGCCCAGGAUGCUCUAACUGGCAUAAGGCUCUAACCCCCACAGCAACCCCACUAGGGAAGCCUGGUUAAGGCUUUCUGCAAAUGAAACCGAGGCCAAAGGAGGUAACAGAAGUGCCUUAAAAUGAGUCAGCCACUGAGCUGGAGUUCAACCCAACCCAUAUCUGUCUGCCUCCAAAACCUGGGCCACCCUUCUUCACACCUACCUGUCACUUGUCCAGGAGGAAAGGAGGUUAGAGCAGGACCUUUCUGUCCUUGUCAAAGCAGGGACUCACCCAACCCAGGCAUUCUUCCUUCCCUCCUCCCCACCCUUUUAGGGCAAUUUCUUCUCCUCAGAAUGCCUUUGGCCCUCCUCUCCCACCAAGGACAUUCCUUCCAACAUGCAAAGCCCACCUCUAGAUUAAAUUCCUGCUCUGCCCUUGAAACACAUUACAUUUCCUCCAGCCCAUAUCAAGCUCUCUCUCUCAGCUGAACUUCUAACCUCAUCAUCUGUGUCCCAGCUUUGGUGGUUCCCCAAGUUUGUGUCAUUCUUUGGGUUUUGAUUUUUCAACAUUUAACUCUUGAUACUGGCCGUCAUCAGGUCUUCCUGGGACCUAUUUCUGGCUUAUGUAUACAUCUCCUUAUCUCUGGGAAUGAGGUCUGACAUCAGGGGGUACUUCCUUCCUGCUGGGAGCUGUGUUCUCUGUUCCUUUGUUUCCAUUGUGCCCUCCUGCCCCAAGUGCACUGGUUUUCCAUCCUUUAGAUCUUUACUCAGGCCACCUCUCCUGCUUGGAAUGCUCUCCUUUCUCCGUUUCUAGCCAGUAGUAUAUGACUUUUUAUGUCUUAUCUUCUUUGAUGACCUGGGGACUUGAUGAGGAAAGAUCCUAGUCAUUUUCAUCUUUCUUUAUAUCCUCACAGCCUCUAGCACACGGCCUGGCCCACAGGCGACAUUCAAUAAAUGUUUGUGAAGUGGCUAAAUAAAUAAAUGAAUGACUUUUACUCAAAUACACAAAGACUGAACCUACAUAUAUUUGCAGGAUCUAAGAAAAAGCUCUUCUUUGGAAUGAAUCUCCCAAGGAGAUAGUAUUUUUACAGCCAGUGGGGGUCCCAUACUUUUUAAAGCUAUUUAAAUGACUGUUGGUCUCUCUCCGGUAUGUUAAAUAACACUUUCAUUUUGGUGCUUGCCCAUAGGCAGUUGCAAAGCAUAGCUUUUUUUUUUUUUUUUUUUUACAAUCAGUAACACUGAUAAAUUAAGCCCAAGGUGUGCACAUGUGUGGUAACACCACUCACUGCACUCCAACAGGCUCAAGCAGCCUCACGCCUCCUGUAUCCUCUGAGCUAAAUUCAGCCAAAUACUGCUGGGUUUGUUGAGGACGAGCGUGAGUUUUUGGUGGUGAAUUGAAAUCCACAGACACCUCCAAGACCUUGUUGCACUUAACAGCUUUGACCUUCUCUCCUGAGUAAGUGUUAAGGAGCAGGAAAUAUGAGACACUGAAGUCUGGCUCACUCUCCCUGCCUUAACCCCAGCCAAACAAUAACGGGAAGUCGAGAAUACUCAAAAGGCACAGAAAGAUUCACAACCACCUACUUCCUACCCCUGCCAGCUCCUGACUUAAAAUAAUCGUAUGAAGUGAUUCCAUGUUUUAAGGAAGUCCUCCUGCAGAAGCAGUGUUGCCUUGUGGUGAAAGCAUAGGUGCUGGAAACAAUUAGACCCGAGAUCAAGUGCAGACCCUGCCACUGUGAACGUGGGGGAGGGGUGCUGCAGUCUGCAUGUUUGUGCCCUUCCCCCAAACUUUGUAUGUUGAAAUGCUAAUCCCCAGUGGUGAUAGUAUUAGCAGGUGGUAGCUUUGGGAAGUGAUUUGAUCAUGAGGGUAGAGCCCUUGCAAAUUGGAUUAGUACUCAUAUAAAGGAGGUUUCACAUGUUUCCCUAGCCCCUUCUAUCGUAUGAGGGUACAGUGAGAAGUCUGGUGACCGAGAAGAGGGCCCUCCUCCAACCAUGCUGGCAUCCUGAUUUGGGCCCUCCAGCCUCCAGGACUGUGAGCAGUAAGUUGCUGCUGUCUAUAAGCUUCCCAGUCUGUGGUGUUUUGUUACAGCAACCCGCAGGGACUCCGGUGGACAUUGGGCAGAUUCCUCAGCCUCUCAAAGCCCUAGUGUCCUCAUCUGUGAAGACCUCCCUCCCAGGUGUUGGCACUGAAGCUGUAAAUGCAGGGAUGUUCCAUAAACAGUAGCUCUCAGGACCUGCACAGCCUCUGGCCCUCUUCCUGCUGGAAUCUCAUCUUGCAGUCAGAGUGGAUACGGAGCCCCCUUCUCACCUCCCUCCCUCCCCACCCCAGGACAGGAAAACCACACGGAGAACUUGUCCCUAUAUGCGAGGCUCUUUCCCCUUCCUCCUCCGGGUGUCCACUGCCUGUCACACUGCACAUGCCCCCGUGGCUCUCGCUGUCCUCCCUCAAGGCACUGCGGGAGAGCAGCUCAGCACAUGGGCUCUGGAGACAGAUGGCGAAGUCCUGAGUUCCGGCUCCUUUGGGGAUGUCUGUUCUUUCCCACUUGCCUUGAAUUGGCCCACAUCCCAGGGAACCUUUCAGUCCCAGGCAAAGCAGGACAUUUGGUCAUCCUCACUCUACUCCUUCGUGGGCUGUGAUCUUGCCUAACAUUACCUUUCUUUCCACACCUUGGGGAUUUGAACAAUUCCACAACCAUCUUUGAUGACAGAAGGAACGAAGUAUGUGCCUGGAGCAUCCCAUCCCAGAAAUUCAGACACCACUCAGGGUCUGUCUGACCCUCUGAGCCCACCAAAGGGCCCACCCUGGGAGGUCUAAGCCCCCAUUCUCAGGCAGAGCUGCCCUUGAGAAGCUAUGAAGUGCCUGGCCUCAGGGUCACCUCUUCCCUUCUAGUGGGUGGGAGCUUUGACAUGACCAUACCAGGGCAAGCACUCCUCUGACACCGUCCCCUGUAUUUCUGAGUACCCCCUGCCUUUAAACCUCAACUCCCUCUAAGCCAGAAUGAACCCAAGAACAAACGAGGCCAGUGGAGUUGAAGGAAAUGGGGAAGUUUCUCCCCAGGAUACCAGGUGUAGGCUGGAGGUGAGGGGAAGGUGAACAGAAAUGGGGCAGCUGCUCCUCUUUAACGAGAGCAGAGCGGUUGUCUGCCCCAGGAGCACACCAACAGCACUAAUAAACCUGAAAAUCAAUCCUUGUUGCUGGGUAGGGGGUUGGACCAGGUCAGCCGGCAGCCCAGGCUUUAUGACUGGACACCCUACGGGGAGCCUUCCAAUUCCCCUUCCAGGUUGACAUUAACAUAAGAGGAGCAGCCACCACGUGGCUGGCUGUGCCAAGUGACUCCUCCCAGGACGGCUUUUCUGCUUUUAUUGCUCAGCACUUUAUAGUUUGCUGGAGGUUUAGAAUUUUGAAGCAACUCUUCAGGAUAGACAGUAUCAAUAUCUCUACUUUCCAGUGAAAACAAAAUCUAGGCCUAGAAAGUCAAAGGGAUUUUCACGUCUUACAGCUUAUACAAAGGUAGUGAUUAACAGCAGUAAUCUUUCAACUUUUCUAUCUCAGAGCCCUAUCAGAAAAACGGUUCUGAGCAAAUACCCCCAAUAUAUAUGCAUAAUUUAUUUAUAAAUAUGGCCAUGACUAUUGUAUUGAUAGAGUAAGUAUGUUAUAAAACAUUAAUGAGAUCAUACAUAUUGUUAGAAGGUCCAAUGUUUGCUUCUCUCACUCCAGUAGAUGAGCUUGUAUCAUCAAUGAAGUGGGCAUUUUGGAGACGCAAACCCUACCAGAGCCAAGCAGGCAACAUAAAUCAGUGAAGUGGACUAAGUAUAAGAGACCCAAAGGUACAGGCAGCUGAUUCUCAGCCUCCAUGUUGGGCACAAUAGGGAGUGGUGGGGACUGUGGCAAAAGGGACACCAAUCCUUCGUUAUAAGGAGGCAGCUGUUACCCAAUUUUAGUCAAUCAUUGCCUUGUGAGAAUGUGAGCCCAGGAUUUCCAGCCUUCCAGUUAUUCAGCAGAAGUCAGAAAUUCAGGCUUUUAUGUGAAAUUGUAGAAUUUAAAGAUGUUGACCACUGGUUUCAUUUUUUUACAAAAAUACUGGGAUCCAAGGGGAUCAAAAUCAGUUUUCAGGCCUCCAAAGGCCAACUACUGGAGUAAAGGAAGGAGCAUGGCCUUUGCAGCCAGUCUUGAAUUUGAAUCUACCUUUAACAGGUAAUUUAAUCUCCUUGUGCUUUUGUUUAGGGGCCAGAGAAUGGAAAUAAUAGUAAGUGCCUUUGAGGGUUUGCUAUGUUGUAUAUGAAGCAUUUAGCACAUGCCUGGCACAUAACACUGGCCCAGUUUAUUGUGCCUCCAAUUCUAGUGGGGCCCCCUUAGAACUCAGCCCUCCUGAUUGCUGACCCAGUUCUCUUCCAUUUUAAAGAGAAAAUCUCCAUCCCUGGCAUCCAAAUUCCAAUCCCGCGCUUUGCAGAAUUGAUUCUCCCACCCAGAAAGGCAGUUCUUUCCUACCCUGGUCUCAUCAUUCCUGAGUAGAAUCUGGAAGCCAAAGGAAUGAGUAGGCUCUCCUCCCUAGCAGGCUGGGGCAGGAGGUGGCGUGGAACCAGUCACGAGCAAUGGAAUGAGAGUCACACAGCCCGAGCUGUAGUCCUGGCUUGGCCACUAACAAGCUGUGUGAACCUGGACAAAUGACUGAGCUACACUGAGCCUCUGUUGUCCCAUUUAGGAGUGGACACAGUAAUAUCCACCUCAAAGAGUAGUCAUGUGAAUGUAAACAUUGUGCGGGAUAGUCUCUGUCUGCUCCACCCCAGAUUCUCUCCACCCUCCCCGGCUGCUCUGUGCCCCUGAGUCUGAUCUCAAUAGACUGUUUCAGCGGGGCCCUGCUCUGGUCCCCAGCUCAGCAGAUAAGAUACAGCAACCGGUGAGCAGUGGAUGGGAGGAGAGCAUGAGGUGUUUAUUCCCCAGCUCCCUCUGUGCCGGGGCCCCAGUCCGGGGCAGUGGCCAGUGGCGGGGCUCCUCUAUGGAAGGCCACAGCCCUUCCCAGGCAGUCCAGUCCUGUAGCUCCAGCUCCAGCCAGAGCUCUCCUCUUCUUUUGGAAUUCUUUCCCUUCCUCCAUCAGCCCAGGGGUGUUAACAGCUCCCCAGCAUCACCAGCCCUGGGGGACUAUACUACCCGCGUUGGUUUCUCUCAACCCUGCCCACACCUUUGUGGGUCCCUCACCGUGCUCUCCUGAACUACCCUGAUUGGGCCAUCUGUCCUGCCAAGAUCCUGACCAUUACACACAUAUAGCACAUGAGUUUUGCCUCCGAGCCUUGGAUGUGGAAGGCACUCAGUGUUGCCAGAAUUAAUUUGAAAUCAUAAGCUUUUCUGCUUCACCCUCAGGCUGCCAGAAAAUCCAAUUGUAUAGAUCCCUCGCUCCCUGAGUGCCCCAGCCCACUGAAAUCCACACUCAUUGAUGGGCAAUUCGCUAAUUCACAGAAGUUUGCCACGCAGCUGCAGUGACCCAGACCCUGCAUCAGGUCCUGAAGCUCCAGGUGAGAUCAAGCAAACAAGUAACUUAUAGUCCCAUGGGAUUAUGUGGGACCUGCUCCCAGGGGUACAACCUCUCCACAGGCCCCCAUGAAGCCAGCAGACUGGCCAGAUCUCCUCGUGGGUAUGAGGACCCAAGGGUACCCUCUUGGGGCUUUAUGAAUUAGUAGUUACUGUUGGCAGCCAACACCACGGGGAAGAGUGCUGGCUAAUAAUAUAUAAGCAUAAGUCAUCAGGAUGGGGCUCCCAGGGAAGCCUUUGCUUCCUUUAUGAGAAGAGGCUGGCUCCACUGGUGUGAAUCUUUGUUCUCUUUCUGCCUUUUCCUUUUGAUGCUUAAACAAAGAUGUGGCAUUUGGAGGUGCAGUGAUCACCUUGGCACCACGAGACAACAAGCCCACACUCGAAGGGCAGCAGAGCAGAGAGACAGAAAAGGACUUGUUCUUAUGAUGUCACUGAGCGGUCACAUCAGUCCAGACCACCUAGCUCAGGGUUUCUAAAAGACAAGUAAUCCCUUAUUUAUUUGUUUAAGACACAGGUAGGUAGGCAGUGUUACAUACAUUCAGUAGAAUUCAUGUCUGGAGGAAACCCUCAAGAUUGUCUGUUCCAACUCUUUCCCUCAUAAUAUGAGGAAACUGAGGCACAGUGGGGAAGGGAACUUGCCCCAGAUCACACAGCCCAAUUUGAACUCAAAUCCCCCAGGCAGUCCUAGUCCACCCAUACAAACUCCUACAACCUGUGCAAAGGUUUGUGAGCUUUGUGUGUGUUUCCACUGUGCCUAGUGUACAGGCCCUUUGGAAAUAGAGCUCUUCUCUUUUGCUCCUGAUUGGUCCCCUAAAAAAAAAAAAGCUGACAUGUAGAUUCAUGAGCAAUAAUAUUGAGCUUAAUAUUUUCAGCCUCUGGGUUUUGGGGAGGGAGCCGUUACACAGCAAAACUAACCAAUACAUCACAUUUAUGGACCAUUUACUAUAAGCCGAAUCUAUGCUGAGAGCUUUACGUAAAUACUUCAUUUAAUUCUCACUAGUGGCCCAUGAAGUAGAUACUGUCAUCUUCAUUUUGUAGAUGAAAAAACGGAGAUUUAGACAACUUAAAUAACUUGCCCUAAAGUCACACAGUAAGAAGUGGGUCCAGGAUUUGAACCCAAGUGUUCUGACUCUAGAACUGUAUUAGAAUUUCCUUUCUUUCAGUAGCUUUUGCCUUUUGCUCCUCCUAAAACUGGUUUGGCUCCAAAGUCUUAGUAGUUUUUUUGUUUUUUUUUAAGGAUCUUGUCUCAGUACCCAGAAUCUCUUGGGGGUCAUGGUAUGAAUGACUUUAGCCAGUGCCUGAGUGAACAUUCAGAACAAGCCUGACCUUGCCAGCAGGUUUAAUUCCUGUCUUUCCCACAAGUCCUGUUGGCUCUGCCUGCAAAAUCUACCUGAUCUGUUCACUUCUCAUCACCUCUUUUACUUCCAAUCUGGUCCAACCCACCAUCCCCCUUUACUUGGAUCAUCUCAGUAUCCUCUUAACUGGUCUCCUUGACUCCACUCCUCCCCACUACAGCCUUCCUCUCUAUCAGCCUGAGUGAUUGUUUGAAAAUCAAAGUCAGGCUGUGACAAUCUGUACUUCAAUACCCUUUGUAUUCACUUAUAAGAAUAAGAUACCACAGAGUGGGUGGCUUAAACAACAGAAGUUUAUUUUCUCACAGUCCUAGAGGCUGAAAAGUUUAGGAUCAAGGCAUGAGCAGGUUUGGUUUCUUCUGAGGCCUCUCUCCUUGGCUUGCAGAUGGCCACCUUCUCACUGUGCCUUAUGCGGUGUUUUGUCCACACACAUGCAUCUCUGGUAUCUUUUUGUGUGUCCAGAUUUCCUCCUAUAAGGACACCAGGUAUAUUGGAUUGGGGCCCACCCUAACAGCCUCAUUUCAAUUUAAUCAUCUCUAUAAAGUCUGUCUCCAAAUACAGUCACAAUCUGUGGUAGAGGGAGCUAGGGCUUUAACAUGUUAAUCUGUGGGGGAUACAGUGCAACCGUUUUAUAGCACCUUUUCAUGGUUUCCCAACAAACCUAGACUAGAAUCCCAAGUAACUAGCACGUUCUCUAAGGUUCCAUGUGCUCAGGGCCCUGCCACAUCUCUGGCUUCCUCUCCCUCCACUCCCCGCUCUGCUCCAUGUGCUCUGGUCGCACUGCCCCCCACCCUAAGCUUCUUGUACCCACAAAGCACGCUUCUGCCUGCAGGGUCUUUCACUUUCUAUUUCCUCUUCCUAGAACAUUCCUUCACCCCCAGAUCUCUUCAAAGGCUUACUCUGCCCUUGCUGUUACUUUGCCCAAAUGCUACCUCCAUAAUGUUCUAGCUUCUUUAUUUUUCUUUGAAACAUUUAUUGCUAUCUGCCAUUGUCUUAUAUUUGUUUAUUGUUCAGCUGUCUGCCUUUACCACCUGAAUAUCAGCUCCAUGAGGCAAAGACUCCAUAUGCUUUGUUCCCAGAUAUAUCUCCAAAGCCGAAAUACAGCAGAGCUACACACAAUAUAACACCCAAUAAAUGUUUGAAAGAAAGAAAUUGAAAAGAAUGAAUAAAUGAAAGAAGUAAAUAGAAUGGAAUAAAAUGAAUUGACUGAGGAAAUUUUUAAAUAAAAGAAAACCCCAUGCAACUUAAAAAAAAUUCUUUUUCGUGCCACUGUGACCUCUGUUCUUAAUUCCAAUGUUUGACCUAAGAGUUAACCACUUAUCUUCUGGAAGCUUCUUAAGCAUCCCAGGACAUUAAGCAGCAGGAAAUCUCUCCCAGGUUGUCAUCAACUGGCCCUAAAUGUAAGCACUCAGAAACUUGCAAAGGUUUCCCCCCUCUUUAUCUCCUUUCUCACCUACAACUGACAGCCCCAAGCAAAGAUGCACCCCACAACUUUGGCAAUGAGACAGGUGAGAAACUAAUAGGCAAAAAGAUUCUUUCAUUACGGGUAAAGAAAUUCAGAUCAUUUGAAGACAGAAAAAUGGAGAAGGAAUGUAUAAAAAAAAAAAAUCAUGCACUCGUCAAAUGAACAGCCUAACGUAUGGUUCACUGCAGUUCUGAGUCGACGCAUCGCUCUAGCCCUAGUGACAGCUUAUGAAAUUGCAAGCAAGGGAGAGGAAGUGGGAAGUAAAGAAAACCAACAUUUUUUUUUAUUUCAACAACUGUUCUAAUGGACUCAAGAUAUAACUGCCUCCCCUUUGGGAAAUCAAACCCUAGUCUCCAGAAAAACAGGAUCUAGAAGUACCACUCUCAAGGGUAUUUUGACACUCUCUUUUUUCUGGUUCUAUAGAUGCAUUUGAUGGGGAGAAUCUGAUUGAAACCUCACAACAAACAUGCAGGGAAGAGAUCUAUCCUAUUAUUGGUGAGGAAGCUAAGGCUCAGAGAUGUCAAGUGUUCACAGAGACGAAAAGGGGCAGCAUUUGCACUGAGGUCAAGCUGAUUCAAAACACUGUGAUCUUCCCAGUACUGACCAAAGGGGAUAAUUUCAUUUCAGCCCACAUCAAAUUUCCCAAGUCUGUGGAAUUUGAAUUUCCCUUCCAGUCACAGUCUCAUUAAUUCAAGAACCUUUAUUGAUUGGCUCCUAGGUGCCAAGAACUGUGCUUUGCUCAGUGGCUUCCAGAGAGUGACAAGUGAAUGAUAAUAAUGAUAAAAUAUAAGUGGUGAGACAGGAACUCCUAAGGGUGUCAACGCUCCUUCUCAAAUUGAGUUACUUUCUCACUAUUGAAUAAAUUGUAAUUUGAAAAGCUGGUAAAAGUGCCUUCUUUUGGUGAGCCAAGCCGAUCAAUAUGUGCCAUUUAAAAUUCUCCUUUCUGCUUUUCUCCUAUUCAGGCAGGCUGGAGAAAAAACAAGCAUUUAAGGGCUGAGACUACUGAGCUGAAUUUCUUAAUGGAGUGGUUUUUUUUUCUUUUUGGAGUGAUUUGUUUCUGAAGAAUAGGCAGUCUAGGGCCUGCUAACUGAACUGUUUUCCUGGAGAGAGGGGAAGUCGGGGCUUGCCAGAUUCCUGUCCAAGGUCAUGGGGGAAGAUGGGGGAGGGGGAAUAGCCCCUGCAGGAAUCUGCAUUCCCGCCGACUGGCCCCAGGGACCCAUCCCUGACAGCUGUUGUAAGUAAUGAUCAACCACAAAAGCAGAUUUCUAGAAGAGUAGGUACCUGUUAUAGGACACACAUUCACAUACAAAACUUGGAAACUCUGGCUCCAAAAUCUUAAAAAGGGUUAUUUCUGCCUGGUGGGACUGAGUGAAUUCUCUUCCUUUCUGCUCCUCUAUAAUGCCUCAUUUUUCUUCUGUAGUCUUGUAUCCCUUACAAUCAAUAGGUGUCACUGAGGUACUAGAUAGACUAGAAUUGAGGUCCUUGGGCUACUCCACACACCCUUUUACUCUCUUUCCACAUUUCCCCCACCCUCUCUUUCCCCUUUCAUUCCUUUUUUAAAGUGAUGAUUUUUUAGAAAUUUAAGAAGUUCUCCCCAUCUCCCCCAUCCCCCACCUCUCCCACCGCCCAUCUCCUUUCCACUUCACAAGGAUGAGCUGCCCCCUCUCUUCUCACUGCCUCACUGAGAAUGCAGGGGGUUCUAGAGGAUGAAAGGAAUCUGUCCUACCCUCAGCCACAUGUCUGUCACUCGGGUCCCCCUGGAUGUUUCACUUAGGAAGGGACUGCCAUGGGCACAACAAGGGUAAAUGACAAUAACAGGGGUGGUACACGAUAAUAAGGCCAUAAAUCUAUGCUCCACAAUUUCCUUUUCUUGAGCUCCAGGAAGAGUGGGGCUGAGUCAAGUGCCCAGGAUCACAGAUCCAGGGGAUGACCUUUGAAACACAGAGAUGUUUGACAACUUGCCAGUUUCCUAUUUGUCAGAAAGGAGAGAAUAAUAUCUCUGUCUCAUAGGUGUGUAAUGAAGAGCAGAUGAAAUAAUGGAUGCAAAAGUGUUCCAAAAGGUCAAAGUCCUACAGAAUGACUCACCAGGCCUAGUAAGUCUCUCUUCUUAAUUUCUUUCCUAUCUGUCUUCUCUCAGCUUCCCCUGGGCCUGCCCUAGUCUAGGCCAUCAUCAUCCCAUCCCUGCUCUUUUGGGCUCCCUGUCUUUACUCUUUCCUCACCUCGGUCCCACCUGUACACUAAUGCCCAGCAAUUUUUCUAAACCCCACAAUUCAGCCAUGUGCAUCCCUCUCCAAAAACUUUUUAACCAAAACAAAGCCCCAGAUUCUUAGCCUAGUGGUGAUAGGCAGAGUUCUAAAGCUGACUCAGUUACACUCAUCCUUGUAUAAUCCAUUCUCCUUUGUGUGGGUGGGACCUGUUAAUAGGGUGAGAUUUCACUCCCAUAACUAUGCUACACAGCAAAAGGGGGAUUAUCCAGGUAGCCUUAAUUUAACCAGACAAGCCUGUGACAAGCAGAGCGUUUUCUCCAGCUGGUAGCAGAAGAGGAAAUCAGAGAUUAGAAGCAUGGGGAGGAUUCAAGGACAGCCAGCAAGGAAGCAGGAACUUCAGUCCCACAACCACGAGGAGCUAAAUCCCACCAGCAAUCUGAAGGAGCCUCUGGAUGAGAGCCCAGUCUGGUCAACACCGUGAGUUCAACCUUGUGUGUCCCUAAAUAGAGACCUCAAAUGAGCCUACUUGGUCCUCUGACCUGCAGGACUUUGACAGAAUAAAUAAGUAUCCUUUUAA